CCGGAGGUAGAGCACUGGAUGGUCUAGGGGGCCUACAAGCUUACCGAAAUCAGCCAAACUCCGAAUGCCGGCAAGUGAGAGAGCGGCAGUGAGACUGCGGGGGAUAAGCUCCGUAGUCGAGAGGGAAACAGCCCAGACCAUCAGCUAAGGCCCCUAAGCGGUUGCUAAGUGGAAAAGGAUGUGGAGUCGCACAGACAACCAGGAGGUUGGCUUAGAAGCAGCCACCCUUGAAAGAGUGCGUAAUAGCUCACUGGUCAAGUGAUUCCGCGCCGACAAUUUAGCGGGGCUCAAGCAAUCCGCCGAAGCUAUGGCAUUCAUACGUGUACUCGGCCCCUUGUGGGUCCAGGUGUGUGGAUGGGUAGGGGAGCGUCGUGUGGCGUGUGAAGCGGCGGGGUGACCCAGCCGUGGAUGCCACACGAGUGAGAAUGCAGGCAUGAGUAGCGAAUGAGGAGUGAGAAACUCUUCCGCCGAAUGACCAAGGGUUCCAGGGUCAAGCUAAUCUGCCCUGGGUAAGUCGGGACCUAAGGCGAGGCCGACAGGCGUAGUCGAUGGACAACGGGUUGAUAUUCCCGUACCGGCGCUGGUGCGCCCAUGCUGAAUCAGUGAUGCUAAGCACCCGAGCCGAGCGUGAUCACCCUUCGGGGUGGCGUGUCUUGGUAAGCGUGUGACCCGAACUGGUAGUAGGCAAGUGAUGGGGUGACGCAGGAAGGUAGCUCAUCGCGGCGAUGGUUGUCCGCGUGUAAGGACGUAGGGCGACAGAUAGGUAAAUCCGUCUGUCAUGUGCCUGAGAUCUGAUGCCGAGCCGUUAUGGCGAAGUGAGUGAUCCUAUGCUGUCGAGAAAAGCCUCUAGCGAGUACCAGAGCCGCCCGUACCCCAAACCGACACAGGUGGUCAGGUAGAGAAUACCAAGGCGAUCGAGUUAAUCGUGGUUAAGGAACUCGGCAAAAUGCCCCCGUAACUUCGGGAGAAGGGGGGCCGGAUUCGUGAACGCCCUUGCGGCGGGAAGCGAUGAAGGCCGCAGAGACCAGGCCCAAGCGACUGUUUACUAAAAACACAGGUCCGUGCGAAGAAGUAAUUCGAUGUAUACGGACUGACUCCUGCCCGGUGCUGGAAGGUUAAGGGGACGUGUUAGCCGUAAGGCGAAGCACUGAACUUAAGCCCCAGUAAACGGCGGUGGUAACUAUAACCAUCCUAAGGUAGCGAAAUUCCUUGUCGGGUAAGUUCCGACCUGCACGAAUGGAGUAACGACUUGGGCGCUGUCUCAACCACGAGCUCGGCGAAAUUGCACUACGAGUAAAGAUGCUCGUUACGCGCGGCAGGACGGAAAGACCCCGGGACCUUCACUACAGCUUGGUAUUGGUGUUUGGUUCGACUUGUGUAGGAUAGGUGGGAGACUGUGAAGCGGCCACGCCAGUGGUUGUGGAGUCAAUGUUGAAAUACCACUCUGGUCGUACUAGAUAUCUAACUUAGGUCCGUGAUCCGGAUCAGGGACAGUGCCUGGUGGGUAGUUUAACUGGGGCGGUUGCCUCCUAAAAUGUAACGGAGGCGCCCAAAGGUUCCCUCAGCCUGGUUGGCAAUCAGGUGUUGAGUGUAAGUGCACAAGGGAGCUUGACUGUGACACCGACGGGUGGAGCAGGGACGAAAGUCGGGACUAGUGACCCGGCGCUGGCAUGUGGAAGCGGCGUCGCUCAACGGAUAAAAGGUACCCCGGGGAUAACAGGCUGAUCUUCCCCAAGAGUCCAUAUCGACGGGAUGGUUUGGCACCUCGAUGUCGGCUCGUCGCAUCCUGGGGCUGGAGCAGGUCCCAAGGGUUGGGCUGUUCGCCCAUUAAAGCGGCACGCGAGCUGGGUUUAGAACGUCGUGAGACAGUUCGGUCCCUAUCCGCCGCGCGCGUAGGAAACUUGAGAAAGGCUGUCCCUAGUACGAGAGGACCGGGAUGGACGAACCUCUGGUGUGUCAGUUGUUCUGCCAAGAGCACUGCUGAUUAGCUACGUUCGGGAGUGAUAACCGCUGAAAGCAUCUAAGCGGGAAGCACGUUUCAAGAUGAGGUUUCCCACCCCUAGUGGGUUAAGGCCCCCAGUAGACCACUGGGUUGAUAGGCCGGAAGUGGAAGCGCAGCAAUGCGUGCAGCUGACCGGUACUAAUAGGCCGAGGGCUUGUCUACACACA
rnacentral:rRNA from 1 species